GAUGAACGCUGGCGGCGUGCCUAAUACAUGCAAGUCGAGCGAACAGACGAGGAGCUUGCUCCUCUGACGUUAGCGGCGGACGGGUGAGUAACACGUGGAUACCCUACCUAUAAUACUGGGAUAACUUCGGGACACCGGCUCUAAUCCCGUAUCAUCUAUUGCACCGCAUGGUUCAAUGGUGAAAUACGGUUUUGCUGUCUCUUCUCGAUGGAUCCGCGCCGCAUUAGCUAGUUGGUACGGUAACGGCUUACCAAGGCAACCAUGCGUAGCCGACCUGAGAGGGUGAUAGGCGACACUGGAACUGAGACACGGGCAAGACGCCUACGGGAGGCAGCAGUAGGGAAUCUUCCGCAAUGGGCGAAAGCCUGACGGAGCAACGCGGCGUGAGUGAUGAAGGUCUUCGGAUCGUAAAACUCUGUUAUUAGGGAAGAACAAAUGUGUAAGUAACUAUGCACGUCGUGACGGUAACUAAUCAGAAAGCAACGGCUAACUACGUG
rnacentral:rRNA from 1 species